AAGGAAAAUCAAGCAAAUAACAAGGGUCACAUGAUUACCUCACUGAUCGGAGCAGACGAAACAGAUCCGACGGUGAAUUGGUGAUUGAACAAAGCGGUCGUGGUUGGUUUGGCAGCGACGUCCGACUGUGGUGAUGCAACGGUCAAUCUCUGGUAAAAGUGAAGAUUGCGGUGAGGUGCAAAGAAUAUCAGACUGUGAUUUUCUGUGGUGCUCAAUGGGUUUUAAAAAGAAAUUGAAGAUCGGUGCUAACAAGGUUUACUAGCACAAGAAGAUUACUGUCAUCUGAUGCAACCGCGGGUGCAUCUCCUUUGACGCCAACACUCGCUAAUCGCUAUGGGCAAGCUGAAGCUGAGAAAGCCGUCUCUAAACCUUCAAAAGUCCAAGCAAUUCUCAAAAACAUAAAACAAGUUCUUCACUAUGCAAAUAAUUCGGUGAUAUAUCGGUUAUCGGUUCCCAUGUGAAAUAUCGGUGUCAAUUAUCAGUCAGAAUAUUGGUACCAAUGGUUGGCAGCUAGGUACUAACCUUCAACUUUAACCUUAAAAGUAUUAUUAUAUUAUACAUAAUCUUAAAAGUGAAUGUUUGUGGACAUUUCACUUUAACCUUCAACUUUGUUAAAAUCUCAUAUUUAUCCCCUAGAUAUUUCACUUUACCUUUUUAACUUUUUCAAAUCUCAUUUUUACUCCUUGUAAGCCCCUUAAGUUUAGAAAAUAUCAUUUUCAACCCCUUAACUUUUUAAGAACUUUAUAAAAUAUCACUUGGACCCCUCGAGACAAUAUACAAUCCAAUAUUUCUUUAAUACAUACGUAAAUUUGGUGUAUGCAUUCGUGCUUUAUUGUGUACGUUUCCAACGUAUGAAUAAGGUCACAUAUAAUACGUUUUGACUCGACGGUAAAAUUUGAGUUGGUCGGGUCGUUGA